rnacentral:rRNA from 1 species
AUUGAACGCUGGCGGCAUGCCUUACACAUGCAAGUCGAACGGCAGCACGGGUGCUUGCACCUGGUGGCGAGUGGCGAACGGGUGAGUAAUACAUCGGAACGUACCUUAUCGUGGGGGAUAACGCAGCGAAAGCUGUGCUAAUACCGCAUACGCCCUGAGGGGGAAAGCGGGGGAUCGAAAGACCUCGCGCGAUUAGAGCGGCCGAUGCCUGAUUAGCUUGUUGGUGGGGUAAAAGCCCACCAAGGCAACGAUCAGUAGCUGGUCUGAGAGGACGAUCAGCCACACUGGGACUGAGACACCGCCCAGACUCCUACGGUAGGCAGCAGUGGGGAAUUUUGGACAAUGGGGGCAACCCUGAUCCAGCAAUGCCGCGUGAGUGAAGAAGGCCUUCGGGUUGUAAAGCUCUUUUGUCAGGGAAGAAACACCGGCUCUAACACAGUCCGGGAAUGACGGUACCUGAAGAAUAAGCACCGGCUAACUACGUGCCAGCCGCCGCCGUAA